CUCAUUUCCUCUUCAUUUCUUCUCUCUGGUCUGAAACCCACCAAACCACGAUACCACUAUGAAAAGGUAUAUAUGUAAUUCUCUUAACCAUGUCCUUUGGAGAAGAAGAUCUGUGACAAUAGAAUAAAAAGCAUCAAACAAUUCAGGAUGUUCAGAUCUGGAAUUCUGAACUGUUGGCUUUGAACUACACCCCCUUUUAAUUCCAUGAAUUCUGGUCUUCAGAUGGUGAGUGUGAUGCACGAUGGCACUGGUGGUAUAACAAUCUGAUUAUACAGUUGUGAUAUUCGGCUGUUAAAGGAUCUGAAGGAGGAGGAAGCUGAAUUGCUAUUCGUACUACUCCCUCAACUUUUAGAUACUACCACACCACGCUUCUGCUUCUGCUACUUCUUCUUUAGGUACUCAUUGAGAGUUUGAGACCACGAACCCAUCUAUUGCUUAACGAAUCAGAUAAUUUUACUUCCCUAUACUCGAUUUUAGACUGAUAUAUGUUGUUGGCGACUUGAUUAUGUGCUUAGAAUGGUUUUGCUAAAUUGAAGGGAUAAUCUUGACAGGUUAUAAAGCUAGAGCUUCAUACACGAAUGAAUGGGUCAAACGGUUUAAACGGGUCAGAUGUGUUGCAGCAUUGGGUCAUUCAGUCACGUUUAUUUUCUGUUUUAUUGGGUCUAAAUAAAAUGAUUUUGUUUUCAGUUGACCCACCCAAAACUUCAAUGUUCGUUCUUAACAACGAAAAGAUCACCUGCAACUACAUACGCGAGUUGUGAGGGGAUGAGAUGACGGUGGUCAGGCAUCACUCCGGAGCACAAUUCCGAAAGCAGUUGUCUAUUGUCAUGUUAAAGAGGCCAAGCAAAAUCUAUCAAGUUAAGUUGGCACACAAAGCGGAAGGAGGGAGGAAGUGAGCUUUUGGCUAUUCCAAGGGUGAUUAGUUUUAUGCAUUAUAUCCUACAAGGGAGUGAGUUUUUGACUGAUACCUUAAGGAAACAACUGAAGCAACAACUGUGAGAUGCAAUUUGGCGAGAGGAGAAAUGUUUUGAAAAUGAACUUUAAAGUUACCUCUUAUUAUAUCUGUGAUCUCAAUGGCAUCCAUUGUAGGACAAAUGGUCAACGACUUAUGAUGUGAGAAGUAUUCUAAUCUCUAUCCAAAGUCUCCUUGGAGUUGCAGAACCAAACACAAGUUUGCCUCUGAAAAAGUUCUUCUAUCUUUCAAAUUUUGACUGGUGGCCAUCAACAUAGAGAACGGAGGUUUACACCGGACAGUGGACGCGACAAAGAUAUGGGAGAUCAACUUUAGGCAUCUGCACUUCGCGAUGAAGAUGUAAGUGUUAAGCUUACGUUCACACGAAUUCAACAAAUGUUAGCUGAUUUAAAGUGACACUUAAUUGCAGCUUGAUAUGCUACAAGAAGAGCAUGACAUUGUUAUAGAUAAGCUUCACCGUGUAGAAGAAAAACGUGAAGAAGCAGAGGCCCGGGCCUGGGAGAUGGAGAAACAUGUAUACACUCAACGUUAUUCACAUUGCUGUAUAAGUUGGGUCUUUAACAAUUUUCAUUAUACGCAUAACUAUGUUCAUCUACAAAACUUGUAUCAUAUAGGUCACUUCUCUAGGAGAAAGAGUAUCUUUAGAGGCCAAAUUGCUGAGUAUGUAAUAAAAUUUGAUUUGCGAGCAUGUCAUCAUUUUUUUAUGUAUACAUACAUACCUGGUCCAAGUAACAUAUCUAUUUGUAUGUAUGGGUGUGGGAACUGUAAAAGCCAAUUAUGGGAGCAACAAGCUUACGAAAAUGAGGAAAGUAUAUCCCGCUCAUAUCAAGGAGCGAGUUGAGUUCGGGACCAAGAAAACCGUAGAAAUUAUAUCUCCUAAACCCAAAAAGGAUGAGGGAGGUGUAAAGAAAGACGGAGGAUUCGGGGAGAUGCUUUUCAUUCGCACAAGCAAUAUUCUUCAAUAUCUGGAUUGAUGAUGCAUGAUGACAUGCUUAUAGAAGCGGAAGACUCUUGUAUUACAUCUAUCAAAAUUGAAUUAGACAAUGUAAAGGGAAGUGAUGUUUAUGGCACAGGCUUGAAGAAUGA